UUCCUACGGGGCGCAGCAGUGGGGAAUAUUGCACAAUGGGGGGAACCCUGAUGCAGCGACGCCGCGUGGGUGAAGGAGUACUUCGGUACGUAAAGCCCUAUCAGCAGGAAAGAAAAUGACGGUACCUGACCAAGAAGCCCCGGCUAACUACGUGCCAGCAGCCGCGGUAAUACGUAGGGGGCAAGCGUUAUCCGGAUUUACUGGGUGUAAAGGGGGCGCAGACGGCAAUGCAAGCCAGGAGUGAAAGCCCGGGGCCCAACCCCGGGACUGCUCUUGGAACUGCAUGGCUGGAGUACAGGAGGGGC
rnacentral:rRNA from 1 species